AAAGGAAAACCUAUUUAAUNAAAUUUAAGUGUAUAAAAGNUUUAUAGUAUAAAUUUAUUUUGUUGGGGUGAUAAAAGUAAAAUUUUUACUAACUGCUUAAAUAAUAAAACAUUAAUAAUUGAAAUAAGUUAAUAAAAGAUCCUAAAUAAAGAUUAAAAGUUUAAGUU
rnacentral:rRNA from 1 species